UACGUAGGGGGCAAGCGUUGUCCGGAUUUAUUGGGCGUAAAGAGCGUGUAGGCGGCCUGAAAGGUCAGCUGUGAAAACUCGAGGCUUAACCUCGAGACGUCGGUUGAAACCAUCUGGCUAGAGUCCGGAAGAGGAGUGUGGAAUUCCCAGUGUAGCAGUGAAAUGCGUAGAUAUUGGGAGGAACACCAGUGGCGCAAGCGGCUAUCUGGACUGACAUUGACGCUGAGGCACGAAAGCGUGGGGAUCAAACAGG
rnacentral:rRNA from 1 species